GCGGGAAUAACUCAACGGUAGAGUGUCAGCUUCCCAAGCUGAAGGUUGCGGGUUCAAGUCCCGUUUCCCGCU
rnacentral:tRNA from 2 species